rnacentral:misc_RNA from 1 species
UUAACUUUUAUUUUUUUUUCAGACUAUUUCAUGAUAAAAAAGAGUUUAUUAUUUGGCCCCGUUGGCGCCGCCGUGAAGCAGACGCCGAGGCAACAGAAGGUACAAAAAAGGCAAGGGUUCUAUCUCGAUAGGGCCGAAGCCCCACGAUAAUGAUCCUUCCGCAGGUUCACCUACGGAAA